rnacentral:rRNA from 1 species
AACGUAGGAGACAAACGUUAUCCGGAGUUACUGGGCGUAAAGGGCGUGUAGGUGGUUUCGUAAGUCUGGCGUGAAAUUUUUCGGCUUAACCGGGAAAGGUCGUCGGAUACUGCGGAACUAGAGGACGGUAGAGGCGUGUGGAAUUCCGGGUGUAGUGGUGAAAUGCGUAGAGAUCCGGAGGAACACCAGUGGCGAAGGCGACACGCUGGGCCGUACCUGACACUGAUGCGCGACAGCAUGGGGAGCAAACGAGG